UUUAUUAUUUAAAGUGUUUGGGGCUGUUUCUUUUACUUUGAGAAAAUUAGAGUGUUCAAAGCGGGUUUCGCCUGGAUAUACUCUUGGAAUAAUAAUAUAGGACUUUGGUUCUUUUUUGUUGGUGACUUAGAACCGAAGUAAUGAUUGAUAGGGACAGUUGGGGUCAUUCGUACUAUGAAGCGAGAGGUGAAAUUCAUGGACCUUUGUAUGACGAACUACUGCGAAGGCAUUUGACUAGGAUGUUCCCGUUGAUCAAGAACGAAAGUUGGGGGAUCGAAGACGAUCAGAUACCGUCGUAGUCUCAACCAUAAACUAUGCCAGCUAGGGAUUGGAGGAAGAUCAUUUUACGUCUCCUUCAGCACCUUAUGAGAAAUCAAAGCAUUUGGGUUCCGGGGGGAGUAUGGUCGCAAGGCUGAAACUUAAAGGAAUUGACGGGAGGGCACCACCAGGAGUGGAGCCUGCGGCUUAAUUUGAUUCAACACGGGAAAACUUACCAGGUCCGGACAUGGGAAGGAUUGACAGAUUGAAAGCUCUUUCUUGAUUCUAUGGGUGGUGGUGCGUGGCCGUUCUUAGUUGGUGGAGUGAUUUGUCUGGUUAACUCCGUUAACGAACGAGACCUCAGCCUGCUAAAUAGUUAAAUCUUGUUUUUAUAAGAUUUUAACUUCUUAGAGGGACUACGUGACCUACAAGCGCGAGGAAGCUUGAGGCAAUAACAGGUCUGUGAUGCCCUUAGAUGUUCUGGGCCGCACGCGGGCUACACUGGUGUUUUCAACAAGCCUUAUUCCCUUGACCGAAAGGUCUGGGCAAUCUUUGAAAUAACACCGUGCUUGGGAUAGACUAUUGCAAUUUUUAGUCUUCAACGAGGAAUUCCUAGUAAACGCAAGUCAUUAGCUUGCAUUGAUUACGUCCCUGCCCUUU
rnacentral:rRNA from 1 species